GUGCCACCGAUCCAAAGUCAAAGUAGAGUAAAAAGUCAAAAGUUGAUAAGAGUCAGACAGAAUGCUUCUUCUAUAAAAAAUUAGGUCAUUAGAAGAUAAACUGUCCUGCAUAUAUAGCUUUUCUUGAUUCAAACAGGCCAAAGAACAAGAGAAGCAAGCAAUCUGUUGCUUCACAAGAUACUUAUGUGAUAACUUCUUGUAAUUUUUCUGUC
rnacentral:lncRNA from 1 species